rnacentral:misc_RNA from 1 species
GCCAGAAACAAAAUUGUUAAUCAAACACUUGCACAAAACUAUAUCCUUUUAUAGGCGGUGAAUCUCAACUGGUUUAAAUGAAUCAGAAGCAUGGUGACUUUUCACCAAAUGAGUGCACGUAAGACAGUUUAAUAUAGAUUUUCAAUCAGUUAAUUUAAGUAAGUAAAAUCAUUAGUUUGUUACUAACUUACGAGAUGACGACUCAAUAAGCAGGCAAGAAAGAGCAACUAUAAGAUGAUUUCCAUAUUGACUGUAUUGUAGGACCAACCCUAUACACGAGAUGCACAGCUCUGAUAGAUCCGGUUGACCCAACAUUAACAAUUAUCGAGGGAAAUCCAAAAAACGAGGAAGUCUCCUACAUCUUCUCAACGUCUGAAAGAGAGUUGAAGACAUCACAGUAAGAGCCGCCGGCAGCUCUUAUACAGGUUCAUGGAGGCCCAAUACAUGGCCAUCCAUACAUCGCAUGGCUGCA